rnacentral:rRNA from 1 species
UACAAAAACAUGUCUUUUUGAAAUAAAUUUAAAGUCUGGCCUGCCCACUGAAAUAUUAAAGGGCCGCGGUAUUUUGACCGUGCAAAGGUAGCAUAAUCAUUAGUUUUUUAAUUGAAAGCUUGUAUGAAUGGCUGGACGAAAUAUUUACUGUCUCAUAAAAAUUUAUAUUAGAAAUUAAUUUUUUUGUUAAAAAGCAAAAAUGUUAUUAAAGGACGAGAAGACCCUAUAGAGCUUUAUAAUUUGAUUAUUUAAUUUUUUAAGAAAAUUUUAAAUUUUAUAAAGAUAAUUAUUUUGUUGGGGUGACAAUAAAAUUUAUAAAACUUUUAUUAUAAAUAAAACAUUGAUUAAUGAGUAUUUGAUCCAUUAUUAAUGAUUAAAAAAUUAAGUUACCUUAGGGAUAACAGCGUAAUUUUUUUUAAGAGUUCAUAUCGACAAAAAAGAUUGCGACCUCGAUGUUGGAUUAAGAGUUAUUUUUAGGCGUAGAAGUUWAAAGUUUAGGUCUGUUCGACCUUUGAAUUCUUACGUGAUCUGA